GCUCGUCUGCCAGAGCUGCAGCAGGCUCUGCAGCUGCUGUAACACGGUUACCUGCUCUUUGUGCUCCGCUGUUGAUUGUGAUAUGCCUGUCUGGAAGAGACCACUCUUUGCUAUUACCUGGUGUUCCUGAUGUGAUACAGGAUUCAGAAUAUUCUCUCUGCAUGUUGGUCAUGUUAGGACACACUUUUGUGGGAUCAGAAUAGAAAUCAGUUGCUCCUUCUGUGCUUUCAGGUGAGUGUGAAUCCAUUCUGGACACACAACAUUUUCUUUGUAAGAUAACUGGGAAAUUCAGCCAGGCCUGAAGGCUUUUCCAAAUAAGAGAAUUUGCUGAUUCUGGUUACGGUUUUUUUAAGCUAUCACAAACAUCUUGUGCUUACUGACAUCUUGAAUGGUUGUAAUCUUUCUAUGAUAACUUUGAUAGAAAGAGUAAUAGCACACCAGGCUUGAAGAAGAAAAAUUUUACUUAUUAGUAAGUUUUCCAAUACCUUCACUAAAAGGUCUUUCUUGGAAAGCACCUUAUCUGUAUGAGUUGAUCAUUGAUACUGUAAACUUCAUAUUGUCCUGAACACCCACUCAGAAGUAGCUCAUGAAGUGGUCUGAAAAAUGGUCAGCACUCAGGGGUACUUCUCCAUAAACAGCUCAUUCCUCAUAUUCUUUUCAAAUCACUGCAGAGGCUUAAUAUUGUUUGUGCUGUAAGACUGAAGUAAAGUACUACUGGACAGCCCCUCAAAGCAGUUUUCUUUUACUAUUUUUGUUAUGUUUCAUUAAAAAAAGAUUUUUCAUCUGACAAACCACCUCUGCCUAAGAGAAAACUACAGUGGUCUUUACCUCAGGAAAAUGCUGAUUUGAGUGGCUGAUUUCAGACUGUAAGAUAAAAGGAAUAGAUUUUGACACACACAAGAAAAGAAAUCCUUGUGGCACAGCUGUUGGUCUGUUUCUCAAAUUCUUUGUCCUGAAUUCCUGAAGCAAAGCCUGCCAUUCAUGCUUCCCAGUCUUCUCAGCUGCAAUUAGUGUAUUUUGGGUGGAGUAACCUUGUUUUACCUGUUUCCCUCCACUUCAGCCAUUUCUGUUUGAAGAGAUGGAAAGGCCAUUGCAGUGCAAUUUGAGAGCCUGACUUCUCCCUCGUGGGCAUCCCUUUAUCUGACAUUCUGUUGGAAGGAUUCUGGGUAUUUGUCUGUCAGAAUACUGCAGCUACCCAAAGAGAAGGGUAAAUGCUUUAGCAAAGGAUGGGGGUGGCUGUUGCUAGAGAGCAACUCUUAAUAACUGCACUGGCGUGGCUUGGGGUGUAUCAGCCACAUGAAGUGCAGGAUGACAUCCUCUCUAGCCUGUGUAGCACUUUAUGUAACUAUGCAGACACACUUUAAAAGCAUUUAUACCUUUUAGGGUUUCCUGGGGGGUGUCACUUCACUCUCAACCUUCUGUGCCAGCUUAGACUGACCAUCUGUGCCAGCCUAGACAUGCUGAUGGGUCUGGUUAGUUUUCCUGUUCUGCAUGUUUUAGAGCCAGUUAAAAUGGGAGACUUUACUAGUUCUUACUCCAAUAAGUUACUCCACUUCCUUUUGAGCAACUGUGAAAUGUAUCUUCAUUCCUGUUACAAACAAAUAAAGUCUCAAGUCAGGUGAAUUAGUAGUGAAAUAAUUAGUUGGAAUGUGCAGGAAUUCUACAGCAUUAUCUGUCUUUUCAAAGCACUAAUAAAUGAAGUCAGGAUGGUGGCAGAUCUCUGGUGCAGUUCCCAGCUGUUAUCAGGGCAGAUAAAAAAGUUGCUCCUGUGGCAGUCGUUUUAAACCACAAAGGUGAGUUUUAUGGAUGGGAAGAAUCUGUGAUUUACUAUGUUUAGAUGUUAGUUUUAGGAAAGAGUUUUAAAACUUGGCUUUGUUUCAUUUGAAGCUCUAAGGAGUGAAUUAAAG